AGCAGCCGCGGUAAUUCCAGCUCCAAUAGCGUAUAUUAAAGUUGUUGCAGUUAAAAAGCUCGUAGUUGAAUUUCGGGAUUGACACAUCGGUCGUGCCUUAAGGGGUAUGAACUGGUGUAGUCAAUUUCUCACCUUCUGGAGAACCGCGAUGCCCUUAAUUGGGUGUCGCGGGGAACCAGGACCUUUACUUUGAAAAAUUAGAGUGUUUAAAGCAGGCAUUUUGCUUGAAUACAUUAGCAUGGAAUAAUAAAAUAGGACGGCAUGAUUCUAUUUUGUUGGUUUCUAGGAUCACCGUAAUGAUUAAUAGGGAUAGUUGGGGGCAUUAGUAUUCAAUUGUCAGAGGUGAAAUUCUUGGAUUUAUUGAAGACUAACUACUGCGAAAGCAUUUGCCAAGGAUGUUUUCAUUAAUCAAGAACGAAAGUUAGGGGAUCGAAGACGAUCAGAUACCGUCGUAGUCUUAACCAUAAACUAUGCCGACUAGGAAUCAGACGAUGUUAAUUUUUAAUGUACUCGU
rnacentral:misc_RNA from 1 species